rnacentral:rRNA from 1 species
GAUGAACGCUGGCGGCGUGCCUAAUACAUGCAAGUCGAACGAAACUUCUUUAUCACCGAGUGCUUGCACUCACCGAUAAAGAGUUGAGUGGCGAACGGGUGAGUAACACGUGGGCAACCUGCCCAAAAGAGGGGGAUAACACUUGGAAACAGGUGCUAAUACCGCAUAACCAUAGUUACCGCAUGGUAACUCUGUAAAAGGUGGCUAUACUACCGCUUUUGGAUGGGCCCGCGGCGCAUUAGCUAGUUGGUAGGGUAAAGGCUUACCAAGGCAAUGAUGCGUAGCCGAAUUGAGAGGUUGAUCGGCCACAUUGGGACUGAGACACGGCCCAAACUCCUACGGGAGGCAGCAGUAGGGAAUCUUCCACAAAGGGCGAAAGCCUGAUGGAGCAACGCCGCGUGGGUGAAGAAGGUCUUCGGAUCGUAAAACCCUGUUGUUAGAGAAGAAAGUGCGUGAGAGUAACUGUUCACGUUUCGACGGUAUCUAACCAGAAAGCCACGGCUAACUACGUG